AACGCUGGCGGCGUGCCUAACACAUGCAAGUCAACUUGACUGAAGGAGCAAUCUGACAGUAGAGUGGCGCAAGGGUGCGUAACGCGUAAGUAACUUGCCCCAAGGUAAGGAAUAACGUCGAGAAAUCGGCGCUAAUACCUCACAAUGCAGCGGAUCCGCAUGGAUAUGUUGUUAAAGGUUUACCGCCUUGGGAUAGGCUUGCGUCUGAUUAGCUAGUUGGUGUGGUAACGGCACACCAAGGCUACGAUCAGUAACUGGUCUGAGAGGAUGAUCAGUCACACUGGAACUGAGACACGGUCCAGACUCCUACGGGAGGCAGCAGUGAGGAAUAUUGGGCAAUGCUCGAAAGAGUGACCCAGCAACGCCGCGUGGAGGAUGAAGGUAUUCUAUAUCGUAAACUCCUGUGAGAGCAGACGAAAGACAGAUUAUUAAUCUGGAUGACUGUAUGCUCAGAGGAAGCCCCGGCUAACUACGUG
rnacentral:rRNA from 1 species